rnacentral:tRNA from 2 species
CGGGAUGUGGCUCAGCUUGGUAGAGCGCCUUGUUCGGAACGAGGAGGUCGUAGGUUCGAAUCCUAUCAUCCCGACCA